CCGCGCGCGGCGGGCGGGGCGGGGGCACGGGGGGCCUACGGGAGGCAGCAGUGGGGAAUUUUGGACAAUGGGCGCAAGCCUGAUCCAGCAAUGCCGCGUGAGUGAAGAAGGCCUUCGGGUUGUAAAGCUCUUUUGUCAGGGAAGAAACGGUGAGAGCUAAUAUCUUUUGCUAAUGACGGUACCUGAAGAAUAAGCACCGGCUAACUACGUGCCAGCAGCCGCGGUAAUACGUAGGGUGCGAGCGUUAUUCGGAAUUACUGGGCGUAAAGCGUGCGCAGGCGGUUGUGUAAGACAGACGUGAAAUCCCCGGGCUCAACCUGGGAACUGCGUUUGUGACUGCACGGCUAGAGUACGGCAGAGGGGGGUGGAAUUCCACGUGUAGCAGUGAAAUGCGUAGAGAUGUGGAGGAACACCGAUGGCGAAGGCAGCCCCCUGGGCCAGUACUGACGCUCAUGCACGAAAGCGUGGGGAGCAAACAGGAUUAGAUACCCUGGUAGUCCACGCCCUAAACGAUGUCUACUAGUUGUCGGGUCUUAAUUGACUUGGUAACGCAGCUAACGCGUGAAGUAGACCGCCUGGGGAGUACGGUCGCAAGAUUAAAACUCAAAGGAAUUGACGGGGACCCGCACAAGCGGUGGAUGAUGUGGAUUAAUUCGAUGCAACGCGAAAAACCUUACCUACCCUUGACAUGUAUGGAACCUGGCUGAGAGGUCAGGGUGCCCGAAAGGGAGCCAUAACACAGGUGCUGCAUGGCUGUCGUCAGCUCGUGUCGUGAGAUGUUGGGUUAAGUCCCGCAACGAGCGCAACCCUUGUCAUUAGUUGCUACAUUUAGUUGGGCACUCUAAUGAGACUGCCGGUGACAAACCGGAGGAAGGUGGGGAUGACGUCAAGUCCUCAUGGCCCUUAUGGGUAGGGCUUCACACGUCAUACAAUGGUACAUACAGAGGGCCGCCAACCCGCGAGGGGGAGCUAAUCCCAGAAAGUGUAUCGUAGUCCGGAUUGUAGUCUGCAACUCGACUACAUGAAGUUGGAAUCGCUAGUAAUCGCGGAUCAGCAUGUCGCGGUGAAUACGUUCCCGGGUCUUGUACACACCGCCCGUCACACCAUGGGAGCGGGUUCUGCAGAUCGGAAGAGC
rnacentral:rRNA from 1 species